UACGGAGGGUGCAAACGUUGCUCGGAAUCAUUGGGCGUAAAGCGCACGUAGGCGGCCCGUUAAGUCGGAUGUGAAAUCCCUCGGCCCAACCGAGGAAGUGCAUUCGAUACUGGCAGGCUUGAAUAUGGAAGAGGGUCGCGGAAUUCCCGGUGUAGAGGUGAAAUUCGUAGAUAUCGGGAGGAACACCAGUGGCGAAGGCGGCGACCUGGGCCAAUAUUGACGCUGAGGUGCGAAAGCGUGGGGAGCAAACAGG
rnacentral:rRNA from 1 species